GGACUAUUGUCCUAUGGUCUUUAGGUAUCGUAUAUAUUAAUAUAUGUUUAGUUAUAACUUUUUUUACAAUUUGUGCUAUGUUUUUGUAUGUUUUCAAGUUUUUAGGUAAUGCGAUUGGAUCUGAAUGUUCAUCAUUUCUGCUGGCAUAAAAAGGAUGCUGCUUUUUUUUUCCCUUCCAUUUUAUGUUGUGGUGGUAACCUAAAUCUUUUUCUUUCCCUUUUUUUCUUGCUGAUUUAGACAUUUGAGGG
rnacentral:misc_RNA from 1 species